GUGCGCGCCGAGGCCACUCCCCAGGCUGCUGCCCACACCGGGAGCCGCCGCCAGCAGGUGAACGCCCUGGGGAAGCCUGUUUUAGCCGCUACCUGGGACUGGGGCGCUCCGGGGAGGACUCAAGAAUCACGAGCCAGGCUGCCCCGCUCGGCUCUGCGGUCCCUGCGGGCUCCGGCUCGGGCUGCACCCCGCCCUCCCGCUGUUCUCUCCAGCCUGACUGCGGCUGCGCGGCUGCGGGAGGUCCCAGUUCCGGUUCCGGUUCCUGGGGCUGGGCUAUUCCCAGCGGCCCAGAGUGAAAGGCCCCACGGGCUUCUGCAGGUUUCGGUUUCGGUCCCAGAGAUAAUAUCCGAAGGAUGGAGAAGGAGACAGGAAAGCGGAGAGAGCUGGGAGGUUUUGGUGGCGAUAUCAUGGAGCAAUAAUUCAAGACACCAAAUCUCAACAGAGCUGUCUCCCCUGCCGGAAGAAGCAUGGCUGACAACGGGCCAGAUUGCAGAUGGAAGCUACCCCAACAAAUAGCAUGUGGAAUACCACAACAGGGGCUGUCAGUGGGACCUUCACCCCUGAAAACAAAACUACAACCAAACCGUUUCCUCUUCAUGUGGUGCUGUUGCUUCUUCUUCCUCUUCUUCUGGGUCAUCAGUAUCUCCUGACUCAUCGCUGUCUUCCACCCAUUUUCCUGGCAUUAGUCCUGCUGAAUCGUAGGAGUUGCACAGAGGCCCCACAAU